AGUGAACGCUGGCGGUAGGCCUAACACAUGCCAGUCGAACGGCAGCACAGGAGAGCUUGCUCUCUGGGUGGCGAGUGGCGGACGGGUGAGGAAUACAUCGGAAUCUACCUUUUCGUGGGGGAUAACGUAGGGAAACUUACGCUAAUACCGCAUACGACCUACGGGUGAAAGUGGGGGACCGCAAGGCCUCACGCGAUUAGAUGAGCCGAUGUCCGAUUAGCUAGUUGGCGGGGUAAUGGCCCACCAAGGCGACGAUCGGUAGCUGGUCUGAGAGGAUGAUCAGCCACACUGGAACUGAGACACGGUCCAGACUCCUACGGGAGGCAGCAGUGGGGAAUAUUGGACAAUGGGCGCAAGCCUGAUCCAGCCAUACCGCGUGGGUGAAGAAGGCCUUCGGGUUGUAAAGCCCUUUUGUUGGGAAAGAAAUCCUGUCGAUUAAUACUCGGUGGGGAUGACGGUACCCAAAGAAUAAGCACCGGCUAACUUCGUG
rnacentral:rRNA from 1 species